UUUUCUGGGAAGUAAAAGUCGUAAACAAGGGUUUCCGUAGGUGAACCUGCGGAAGGAUCAUUAUUGAAUAAACCCAACGUGGUUGUAGCUGGCUCUCCGGAGUACGUGCACACCCGUUGCUUUUAUCUUUCCACCUGUGCACACACUGUAGGCCUGGAUACCUAUCGCCGUCAAGGCGGAUGCAGAGAUUGCUGAGUCUUCUUCCUGAGGAGACCGGCUUUCUUUGAAUUUCCAGGUCUAUGAUCUUAUACAUACCCCAAAUGAAUGUUAUAGAAUGUGAUCUUAUGGCCUUGGUGCCUAUAAAAUCAAAUACAACUUUCAGCAACGGAUCUCUUGGCUCUCGCAUCGAUGAAGAACGCAGCGAAAUGCGAUAAGUAAUGUGAAUUGCAGAAUUCAGUGAAUCAUCGAAUCUUUGAACGCACCUUGCGCUCCUUGGUAUUCCGAGGAGCAUGUCUGUUUGAGUGUCAUUAAAUUUCUCAACCUUGUACAGUUUUGCUGUUACAAGGCUUGGAUGUGGAGGUUUUGCAGGUCCACUACCACCCUGGUCUGCUCCUCUGAAAUGAAUUAGCUGGGUUCAGUUAUGCCUUGUCUAUUGGUGUGAUAAUUAUCUACAUCAUUGACGGGCUCGCUUCAAACCUGCUUCUAAUCGUUGGUAGUAAACGUCGCACAACGCAUUCAAUAAG
rnacentral:rRNA from 1 species